CUUCCAUUUGGGGUUCAGCUGGGAGCUAGUGUGUCACGGACUCUAGUCUUUGGUAUCUGUCAAUGACGGUGCAAUAUCAGAAGACUCAUCUGCAGAUGCCUUUCUAACCUCAUCAAUAAUUCCCACAAUCCAUUGACCUCCAACAAAUCCUACGCUGAUGAUACAGACAAUGACCGAAUCACGUGUCAUGAUACAUGGUCAAGAACUGGUUUACACACAUGAAAUCAAGUAUAAGGGACUAAUAUAAAACGAUCAAGAGAUGAAACAAACGUGGACAAACUAAAUCACAGAUGCCAUGAAAGAUUCAGAUGCCAUCUAGUGUAAAAUCAAAUAAGCAAAAAUUAAUAAUGACGUUGGUUUUGUUGACAAAAAUAAAUAAAAUGGCUAAUGAAUUAAUGAAUUCUUUGUGGAAUCAAAGUGACUCUUCCGGAAAAGUUAGGUCGGUGAAGCGGUGAAGGGCGAUUAACGGCGGUGCCCUCUCUGCUAGUCGGCGCUUCUCGCCGGUGCCGUGGGAGGGUCCGUUUCUGAGUCUUCCUUGGUUUUGCUGGUCUUGGCUCUUCUCCGAUUCACUCACCUCAAAUCCAGUGCUUGACUAAGCUCGUGGCGUCGCCUCAAAUCUCAGUCUCUUUCUCCUCCGUCAUGGAAGCUCGGAUUUUGCAGUCUUCUUCUUGCUGCUUUUCGUCUCUUGACACUGUCAAUCGAUACCGUUUCUCCCCUGCAUCAUCAUCACUGAAACCUCUCUCGAUCAGCUUUACUCAGACGACGAGAACAAGGGGAAGGGUAUCUCGUGUUUUAUCCAUGUCGAAGAAAGAUGAUGGCACUGAUGAUGAUGAUGGCACUGAUAGUCUCAAUUACAAAGAUUCAGGUGUUGAUAUUGAUGCUGGGGCUGAGCUUGUUAAACGAAUCGCCAAGAUGGCUCCUGGAAUCGGCGUAUUCGGUGGUCUCUUUCCACUAGGUGAUAAUUAUCUCGUAGCUGGUACGGAUGGUGUAGGGCCUAAUUUGAAAUUGGCACUUGAGACUGGCAUUCACGACACCAUUGGAAUCGACUUGGUUGCUAUGAGUGUGAAUGAUAUUAUUACUUCUGGUGCAAAGCCUCUGUUUUUCCUAGAUUACUAUGCAACUAGUCGUCUUGAUGUAGACCUUGCAGAAAAGGUCAUUAAAGGCAUUGUUGAAGGUUGUCGGCAAUCGGACUGUGCUCUCUUAGGAGGAGAGACUGCAGAGAUGCCCGACUUUUAUGCAGAGGGUGAUUAUGAUCUCAGUGGGUUUGCAGUAGGCAUAGUUAAGAAAGCUUCUGUUAUAAACGGAAAAAAACAUAGUGGAUGGACAUGUUCUUAUUGGGCUCCCUUCUAGUAAGAAGGGUACUGGCCCGAAGCAAUCUUUCGCUGAAUGAUGCGCUUACCCUUGGUGAAGCCCUAAUGGCACCCACUGUCAUUUAUGUGAAACACCUCUUCCAAAGUCGAGAAGUUCGUGGUCAGGUUUUUUCGGCGGUCUCGGAAUCUGGUGCCUCCUGAAGUCUUCGACACUCUUCACGAUGCUUUCAAGCUUAACGGUGCCGAAAUCUUCCUCUGCUGUGACCCUUCUCGGAGCGGUCCCUGCGAUUUUCAAGUCAUCGUUUUCCUGUUGAGGUUCACUGAUUUGGAUUUUGGGCUUUUUUUAGUUAAUUAGGUUUUAGUUUUAAGUUUUAAGUCGUGUGGCUAGUUCGAUCUUUGGCUUGCUUUUGUUAGUGGUGCGGAUUGUGCUUCUCCGGUACUCUUCUCUUGAUUAUGGAAACUCCAGACUAGGCCUUUUUGAUUGCUCUGAGAUAGAUAAUUCAGGGAGUCGGUCUUCCAUCAGCUUUCCUUCUCGUUGUAGUUGGUGUUUCUCAUCUUGGUUUAUUUCGCAGACUCUUCCUUGUUCUCUCGUCUGCGUCAUUUGGGUUUGAAAUUGAGAAGCAGGUCGUUGAAGUUGUUACUUUCCUUUCAAGCUUUAGGAUCUCAGUGGUCGAGACUCUUGCAGAAGUUUCGGGUUGAUGCAAUUGCAUUCACAGCUCUGCCGGUCGCGCGUUAAGUGUAAAGGUUCCUGGAACAGGAGUUAAGUGAGAGAUUUAGUCAAUCCUCUUUUAGUCUUUUAUUUUCUGUUUGAAUUUCUGCUAGAUUUGCUCUUUCUACUAAGUCCUUCUUAGUUUGAUGCCAAAUUUUGAUCUAUGCGAGCUUGCUUAAGAUCGUUUAUAAGCUUAGUUUGUCUUCUUCUUUGGUUUAAGUGGAAGAAUCACUUAUGUACUGGUUAACUUUGGCUAUGUGUUAAUAAAGUAGACACUCUUGUGGAAAAAAAAAAUUAAUGAAUUCUUUGUCGGUCA